rnacentral:rRNA from 1 species
AAACUUUCAACAACGGAUCUCUUGGUUCUGGCAUCGAUGAAGAACGCAGCGAAAUGCGAUAAGUAAUGUGAAUUGCAGAAUUCAGUGAAUCAUCGAAUCUUUGAACGCACAUUGCGCCCCGUGGUAUUCCGCGGGGCAUGCCUGUUCGAGCGUCAGCA